rnacentral:rRNA from 1 species
AUUGAACGCUGGCGGCACGCCUAACACAUGCAAGUCGAGCGGUAGCAGGACCUGUAGCAAUACAGGUUGCUGACGAGCGGCGGACGGGUGAGGAGUACGUAGGAACCUGCCUUAUAGUGGGGGAUAACUAAGGGAAACUUUAGCUAAUACCGCAUAAUCUCGAGAGAGGAAAGCUACCGCAAGGUGGCGCUAAAAGAGGGGCCUGCGUCCGAUUAGCUAGUUGGUGAGGUAAGAGCUCACCAAGGCGAUGAUCGGUAACUGGUCUGAGAGGACGACCAGUCACACUGGGACUGAGACACGGCCCAGACUCCUACGGGAGGCAGCAGUGGGGAAUAUUGGACAAUGGGGGCAACCCUGAUCCAGCGAUGCCGCGUGAGUGAAGAAGGCCUUCGGGUCGUAAAGCUCUUUAGGUUGGGAAGAAGGGUGUUAGAGGAAAUGCUAAUACUUUGACGGUACCGACAGAAUAAGCACCGGCUAACUACGUGCCAGCCGCCGCCGUAA